CUUCAAUAGCAAUCAGCUUAAGAAAAAGGCUUUUCAAUAAAUCAAAAAUAAAUUCUUUGAAGAACAAUGUAAAUAUAUAUAUAUUUUUUUAAUCCUGUCAAAACAAAGCAUAGUAGUCAUUGUUAGCUGUGCAUGUGACUGGAAGCAAUCUAUAAGAAGUUAUGUUGGAGCUAGCGAGCUGGCAGAAUUUCUAGCAUGCUAGAAUAGCAAUAUUUCUUCUGGUUCUAAGGUGGUGAGCUGGCAGAAUCAUUUGCAUACUGGACACAAUGCUUAGCAGCAUUUUGUCUGUCUUUACGUUCUGAGUUCAAAUUCCGUCGAGGUUAACUUUACAUUACAUCCUUUGUGGGAUGGAGUUGAUAGAAUAAGUACCAGUUGAGCAUUGGGGUCGAUCUAAUUGACUUACCCCACUCUCUUGAAAUUGCGGGGCCUUGUGCCAAAAUUUGAAACCAGUAUUUUCUGGCUCUUUAUGUUGUGAGUUCAAAUGCCACCAAGGUUGAUUUUUACCUUUUACCUUUCAGAGUUAAUGAAAUAAAGUACCAGUCAAGUACUUGGGGCCUGUGUAAUUGAUUAUCCCCCUCUCUCUAAAAUUGCUGACUUUGUGCCCAAAAAUUUGAAAUCACUACGAUAGAGCUGAAAUUACAUAUGCCCACAAAGACAAAUUGCUUAUUGAGUAGUAAAAUUUGUAUAAGCUGGUAGUGCUCCAGCAUGGCUUUAGCUGUGGUGGCUAAAUCAAAGUGAAGAAAAGAAUAUUUCAGGCGUAAAAUGUCGUUCCCUGCAUGGCUGUUGUAUUGAGGCCUACCUUGGCGACAUCACUAAAGUGAAAUGUGAUGCUAUUAUAUGUGCAAGUGAUAGUAGAGUUUCCAUAAAUGCAGGUCUUUUGGGUGAAAUAAAAGAAGCAGGCGGUUCACAGAUAUUAAAAGAAAUUGAACAUAAUCUGAAAAAACUUCCUGACAAAAAUAUCAAAUCAGGGCAGGUUCUGGUGACAGGUGCUGGUAGAAUGAGUUGCAAGCAUGUCAUGUAUGUUAAUGGCCCUGCAAUAUCAAAUGGAAUCGACACUGUUGAAUCUGCAAUAAUGGCAUGUUUGAUCAAAGCUGAAGACAUGAAGUUACAAUCCAUUGCUUUUCCUGCCCUUGGUUCUGGUUAGUAUAUAUAUAUAUAUAUAUGUAUUUGAGAGAAAAGCUGAACAUUAGAAGCAUCAGUUGUGGUGUGCAAGAGAGACGAUUGCGCUGGUAUGGACAUGUGGUGAGAAUGGAUGAGGAUAGCUGCGUGAAAAAGUGCCACACCCUAACAGUUGAGGGAACCCGUGGAAGAGGUAGGCCCAGGAAGACCUGGGAUGAGGUGGUGAGGCAAGACCUUCGUACAUUGGGCCUCACCGAGGCGAUGACUACUGACCGAGACCUUUGGAAAUGUGCUGUGCGUGAGAAGACCCGGCAAGCCAAGUGAGAUCGUUGCCAGG